AGGAGAAGUUGUUUCAGAUGUGUUGACAGCUGAUGGAUGUAAGGCAGCUGUGACUCAAAGAUGCAUCGAUGUCACCAAAGAGCUCAAUCACAGAAAAAUCAUUGAUGGGAGUGCUGGAAGAACGGUUUUUGGAGGCAACAAACCUCUUGAAGAUACGAAAUACACACUCGCAAACAACUAUAUCUCAGGAAACUGCGAUGGCUUCCACGACGACGAAAGUGGUAUUUGGGGCUACACGUGGGCAGCUGGGACGUCUGUGUGUGGGUCUGAUGUCGUGAAGUUCACUGAUCCUCACGCUCAGCUGCAAACCAGGCAAGACUGGACAUACACCGGACUGGGCAAGAACCUCCAUCUGGCUGAUGGUCAGUACUAUAUCACCUUCCAAGCUAUCAACAAUGUUGUACACGGAGGAGCCUUGGUUACAACAGUGUGUCACUCUACACCUGUGACAGUUGACACUACACAGCCCGUUGUACAUGAG